rnacentral:rRNA from 1 species
UACAGAGGUCCCGAGCGUUGUUCGGAUUUAUUGGGCGUAAAGGGCGCGUAGGCGGCCCGGGAAGUCCGGCGUGAAAUGGCGGGGCUCACCCCCGUCACUGCGCUGGAAACUUCCGGGCUCGAGGACUGGAGAGGAGACUGGAAUUCUCGGUGUAGCAGUGAAAUGCGUGGAUAUCGAGAGGAAGACCGGCGGCGAAGGCGAGUCUCUGGACAGUUCCUGACGCUGAGGCGCGAAGGCUAGGGGAGCAAACAGG